CGGGGCACGAGGCUAGUGACAAGCUUCAUACCUGUUCGUGCUGGCACUUCUCCCAGUCAAGUUGUUUAGCUUGUGGUUGCUGCUGAACUUUGCAUACAUAUCAGUCUAUCAAUCUAUCUACCUAGGACGGUGGCAAGGAAAUUGUUUGCGUAAGAUUUUAUUGUUUAUUUGGGGCUAAUUAUAAUGCCACUUUAAGUAGUUGUGUGAUAAGGGAGAAUGUUUCAGUGGUGCUUUGAUUUAUUGCUACAGAUAUUUUUAGAGAUCUCAACAGAGUCCAUAUGAGGUUAGGGAGGUAGGUGCUUAUAAUAUACACCUGCCCCCACAGUCCCCCCCGAAACAUCGAUAACAUGUUGUCUACCACAGGUGGUAAUCUGUACUGUAUUACUGUCUACUGGACUUUAUGCCAGAGGAUUCUACUUAGAACCCCUUCCUUCCCCCAGAAAAAAACAGAAAAUGCAAACUUACCAAGUUUCCUUCUUUAGGAGGAACAGUCCCUAUGUAUGGCGCAAAUCACAAUGUCCCUCUUUUCUGUCCUAAUGUCCCUCUUUUCUUGGAGCACCAUAUUGUUAGUUUGCCUGAGUGUAUAACAGAGCUCCAUAAAAAAAAAAAAAAAAUGUGUAUUUAAACUACAAUAAAUGUGUUUAGAAAUCAGUCUGUGUUGAUAAGAUACAUUUUUCUUGUUCUAAAUGACAUUUAGUUGCAUACAUUGUUAUUACUAAGUCGCCUAAAAUUUCUCAGAUCCACCCUGCCCCUGGCUAAAAGUGUCCCUCUUUGUCUAUUUGAAAUGUUGGGAGGUACGGUCAGUAUGCAAUUCUUGCGGGGAGGGGGGGGGGGGCAGCUAUGAUGCACAAGGUACAUUUUGUACAUUAUAAAGAGUAUGGAGGCAUACAACAUGCCUUGCAUUUGGAUCAUCAUUAGCAGUAUUUGAAGUCUGACAUUUCAGGAUAUGUGUUUUUACUCUUUAGGCUACUGGGCUAUAUAUAGUCUCCGUUAGAAACACAUCACCAGAACAAGACAGAUUUUUUGCUGUGUUGCACAGGACCUUUUGGUUCUUCUCCCCUUACCUUUGGCAGCAGUAUACAGUAGUAAAGUCAAUAGCUGAGUGGGUCAUUUCAUUUUAAAACUGUAAUAUUAAAAGGAGAAACAGUGUCUUUAAAGGGAAACUAUAGUCAUAAUAACCACUAGAGCUUAAUAUAGUGGUUCUGGUGUCUAUGACAUGUCCCCUCCGGCUUUUCAAAGUAAACACUGCUUUUUCAGAGAAAAGGCAAUGUUUAUAUUGUUGCCUAGUAACACCUCUAGGUGCAGCUACUCUGACAGCCACUAGAGAUUUUUCCUAUCUCAGUGCAGCAUUAUCUGCAGCACCUACAUUCAGCGUCUCCAUGCUUUGCAUGAACGCACCUCAUAGAGAUGCAUUGAUUCACAAACAGCAGUAUAUGUAUGUGUGUAUAUAUAUAUAUAUAUAUAUAUAUAUAUAUAUAUACACAUAUAUAUAUACAUGCGGCGUGUGUUUGUGCUUUAGGGUGCACACCCUAAUGCAAUAGGCUGCACACGCCUAUGGUGUUAAUUAAUCUAAUAUUUUUAUUAUGGUUUAUAUUACCAUUAGUCUUUAAAAGGGUAAAGAGAUUUACAAAUCAUUCUGCCAACUCCAGCACUUAUAGUCCUAAAUAACACUGAAGUGUGUUACAGCAAAAUAAUCAUAUGAGAGGUUUUGUAGACAUCUAUCACCUGCUUAGCUUUAACAUCCAACUGAUCACAGUGCAGAGAAGAGCUUCCUCGGAAUGUACUGUGUCAUCAAGUAGAAUUUAUGGUUCUGAUGGUGCUAUCACCAGUCAAUUCAUUUUUCAUUAGGUUGUACUUAUGUUUUGUUUUUUCUGUUUUGGUUCUAGCGAGUGCUAGUUGUCAGACCUAUCAUCGACAGAAAAGGCAGCUGUGUGUUUUUUUUUUUAUCUUACCAUACAUUCAUGCACCCAUCACAAAUUUAGCUGUGGCCUUUUAUUGUGGCCAGCCUAAGGCACACCUGUGCAAUAAUCAUGACGUCUAAUUAGCAUCUUGAUAUGCCACACCAGGUGGAUGGAUUAUCUCGGCAAAGGAGAAGUGCUCACUAACACAGAUUUAGACAGAUUAGUGAACAAUAUUUGAGAGAAAUAGGCCUUUUGUGUACAUUGAAAAAGUUUUAGAUCUUUGAGUUCAGCUCAUGAAAAAUGGAGGCAAAAACAAGUGUUGCAUUUAUUAUUUUGUUCAGUGUAUAUAUGCACAAUCACAUACCCAUACACACCAGUAGCGUCGCUAGGGGGGGGCCAGAGGGGGCCAUGGCCCCCCCUACAUCAUGCUGGGCCCCCCAAAUGCCGGCAACUUGCUGGCCAUGUGUUUAAAUUUUAUUCCCUUGGGCUGUAACAGUCUGUGACAGCCCGAGGGAAUGCAGGACAGAGGGGCUGGGGGCUGUCUGUGGCUGGAGGGAGCACUGAAAGGCUCCCUGGCAAGACCCCGCCUCCAAAUAAAGCCCCGCCUCCCGCACAUAAGCCCUGUCCCCGCCGUUAAGCAGCAGACCAUGCUGCUGCUGGAAAAGCCAGAAGAUGGCUGUCUGACCCCCAGCACCAGCCUCCAGUGACAGGUAGGCUUGAUGUGCUUGUGUCUGUGUGUGUGUCUGUCUGUCUGCUAGUGAGGAAGCUUGUGUGUGUCUGUGUCUGUGUGUGUAUGGACUCAGCAGUCUGUGUGUCUGUGUCUAUGGAGUCAGCAGUCUGUGUGUGUGUAUGGAUUCAGCAGUCUGUGUGUCUGUGUGUAUGGACUCAGCAGUCUCUGUGUGUGUGUAUGGACUCAGCAGUCUGUGUGUGUGUAUGGACUCAACAGUCCGUGUGUGUGUAUGAACUCAGCAGUCUGUAUGUGUGUAUGAACUCAGCAGUCUGUAUGUGUGUAUGGACUCAGCAGUCUGUAUGUGUGUAUGGACUCAGCAGUCUGUGCAUGUCUGUGUGUGUGUGUAUGAACUCAGCAGUCUGUGUAUGGACUCAGCAGUCUAUGCGUGUGUGUGUGUAUGGACUCAGCAGUCUGUGUAUUGACUCAACAGUCUGUGUGUGUAUGAACUCAGCAGUCUGUGUGUGUGUGUGUGUGUGUGUAUGGACUCAGCAAUCUGUGUGUGUGUGUAUAUGAAAUUAAGCAGUCUGUGUGUGUGUGUGUGUAUGGACUCAGCAGUCUGUGUAUGGACUCAGCAGUCUAUGCGUGUGUGUGUGUGUAUGGACUCAGCAGUCUGUGUAUUGACUCAACAGUCUGUGUGUGUAUGAACUCAGCAGUCUGUGUGUGUGUGUGUGUGUGUGUAUGGACUCAGCAAUCUGUGUGUGUGUGUAUAUGAAAUUAAGCAGUCUGUGUGUGUGUGUGUGUAUGGACUCAGCAGUCUGUGUAUGGACUCAGCAGUCUAUGCGUGUGUGUGUGUAUGGACUCGCAGUCUGUGUAUGGACUCAGCAGUCUGUGUAUUGACUCAACAGUCUGUGUAUGUGUGUGUGUGUGUAUGAACUCAGCAGUCUAUGUGUGUGUGUGUGUGUGUAUGGACUCAGCAAUCUGUGUGUGUGUGUGUAUGGACUCAGCAGUCUGUGUGUGUGUGUAUGGACUCAGCAGUCUGUGUGUAUGAACUCAGCAGUCUGUGUCUACCACGUAAGAAGGAGUCUACCACGUAAGAAGGAGUAGCACUACAAUGUCUAUCUGCUUUGCACUUUUGGAGCUUAGCCCUAACUAAGUCUAUCUUAAUUUCUCCAAACUGCUUUCUACACUUGGCAUACCCGUAGGAGAGAAAGAACUCGGAGGCACAACAGGGUCAAACCCAUAGUUAAUAUAAAAAGGACUGUGUUGCGUAGACUCGUGUACUUGGAUGUUAUGAACUCAGCCCAAGGGCGUAAACCAACCCAAUUGUCUUGAUAUUCAGAAGUAAAACAUCAAAGGUAUUGUUCAAGGAAAUGGUUCAUCCUCUCGAUAGCACCAUUAGACUGAGGAUGAUAUGAGGAUCAAAAAAUUCAAUUGUAUACCUAAUUAAUUACAGAAUGCCUUCCAGAAUCUGGAAAUAAAUUCUAUAGUGUUCCUUUAAAUGUAUAAUUUCAUUAAAGUGGCUAGAGUCAGGAAAUAAGACAUUAUUUUUAAUAAAGGAAUAAUUGGAAAAUGCAUACUGCAUAUGAAUUAAAGCUAUUUUAAUGUAUUAUUUUGUUCAGUGACUUUUCCUAAAGGGAAAACCCGGUCACCUUAUGCUGGGGUCACUGGCUAGAAAGCCACACGGGGAUUUACUACCGUCGAGUAGUGGGAAUGUAUUUUUCUUACUGUAGAUACAUCCUACAGGCAAUAUUUUUAACACAGUCCUGCAGUGUACACUGGCCAUAGUCAUAGCCAGCUGAAAAUCUGCUCACUCCAUUAACUAAUGUUGCCUGAGUUGUUUCAUAUUAUUUGGAAAGGCAAAUCAGUCAUUAAACAAGUUUUAGAAAUAAUCAAAUUAAAAAAAAUAUUAAAUGACACUGGCAGUUUUUUUUUUUUUAGAAAAAAAAUCACUACAGACUAUUUUAAAAAGAAAAAUAACAGCAGGCAAGAAUUUAAAUAUUGUAAUAUAAUUAAACUGAAAUAUAGAAAUUCUUUGUCAUCCUGUAGCCAACAAAAACAACCUGCCUAAAAUGUAUGAAUGCCUAAGUAUACUUUGAGAGGGAAGCAAAAGUCCAAAUACAUUUUAAAACCUCAAAUUAACCCUUCCUAAAAGCUAUAUGGCAAUUCUUUCACUACAUUGAUUAAUCCAGUUAAUGCUGUGUAUUACUGCACCACAGAGCUGCUCUAUGCAACUGCACUGGCAGGCACGCAACAACAAAAAUGACUGAAACCAGCAUGUUUAGUUGCCAGAACAAUGGUGGAUCUAAUGAUGAAAAGGCCUUGGUGCAAUACAUUGUUUUGGAUCACUCCUCUAGCACAAGGAUGGACAAAUGGUAAAAUACCCAUAUUCCUGGCUAAUCAUGGCAGCAUCACUUAUAGGUAGCUCCGCCCUUAGCAGUCACAGGACAGGAAUUAAUUAAUUAGACUGAUGAGUAUAAACAGUACAUCCUCCCCUUACACCUCAGUCUUUUUUCCUGUCCUUAGCAAGUUCUACAGGACUUUUUACAUUUUAUUUUAUGGCCACCUUUCUGCGUUUGUCGUGGGUUCGUUCCGAAUAAAGUUCAGCCUCUCUUCAUUUGAAGGACCCAGUAAACAGCCUGCAUGAGCAGGACUACCUAGGUCAGGUUCAGUGUAUGUACUUGACUGCUGCGUUGGAUUUAGAUUGGUGUUCUAAGGGAAACACGGCUACAGGUAAUUGGAGAAUGGGGUUGGUCCUCCUUAAAAAUUCCCCUUGUUGUUUGACUUGCCCCUAGUAAUUGGGGUCUAAACCCCCCCCCCCCUCCACUAGCAUUGGUGGCAGUGUUUGGGAUCCAUACUGCAGGGGGUCCUCCUGUGGGGGGAUCCUGUAAGCUUACUUGUGCUUAGUGGUCUUUCCUGAGGGUGGAUUCCCUCUCUGCUGCGGCUGGGGUGCUCUCUAUUGUUUCCUGUGGGUUUCUGGAGAGGCCAGCGUUGUUGGCUGGAACGCAGUGUGCUUUUCAGCAGGCGGAAGUGACGUCGCGGCCGGGCCGGCGAAACCGGAAGUGAUGUGUAUUUUGGCCGCGAGCGUUUGGAACACAUAGCGUGCGUUCCAGCAGUCUGCUUAUGCGCGGAUCAGCAGUUUCCCCGGCGCUAUUUAAACUGGGGGAUCCUGGUUCUCUGCCUGCUCGAUGAGUCAGCUGUUGGUUGGAAGAAGUUGAUCCUGUGUGCUCAGUUUCUGCUCCUUUGCUCUGUGCUUGGCUGCCUGGAGUGGUUAUCAGGUAGGAUGCCUUGUUUCUUCUUGUGUUUCUUGUUUUUGGGAAUUUGCUGGUCAGUUUGCUGCUGUCUUUUUUUUUACUGGGACAUGUGUUUUACUUUCCUUCAAUUCUCCUUUUAUUAUGGAUUCCCCGUCUGCCUCUGCAAGAUCCCUCUCUAGAAAACAUAGGUGAGCCAUUAAUUUUUUCAUGGGGGGGUUGUUAAAAAGAGUGCCAAACUAAGCCUGUAAUAUAUGUUAUAUAUGGAUUUAUUUCAGCUCCAGCAAGCAUCUGGAUUCAAGGAAAUCAAGGGAAAAGACCAAUAAAUGCAUUCAUUGUUCUUCACCUGCUCCGCAUGGAAGAAACCUCUGCAGGAAAUGCUUAUUGGAAGUGGCAGAUGUCCCCAGUAGGAGUUCCCCACAGGAUGACCUUAAACUCUGGAUUUCCCAAGCUAUUGCUGAGGGCUUUAAGCCUACCACAGUGUCUAGUGGUCCGAGUAAGAGAUGCAGAGCGGAACCCCUGAUGUGUGGGAGGUCUCAGAUGAUGGUGAAGAGGAAGUUGAAUAUACCUUCAGGUCUCUCGACUCGAAGUCUAUUGAUAGACUUAUUACCCUCCUCAGAGACACUCUUAGUCUCACGGAAGGAAAGUCUGAAUUGAGAGAGGCUGACAGGGUUUUUGAGGACCUAAAACCAAAUAGACCGACUUUCCCGGUACAUUCCUCUAUUAGGGAUAUGAUCCUUUAAGAAUGGAAUAAGCCAGAAAGGAAAUCCACCUUGAAAAAUAAAUUCACAAGGAUUUAUCCUUUCUCUGCCGUGGACUGCUGCCUAUGGAAUUCAGUUCCUAAGAUUGACGCUGCUGUGAUUCAUAUGGCAAAGAAAACUACACUUCCUAUUGACUCCAUGGCAUAUCUCAGAGAGCCUAUGGAAAAGCAUAUGGAUGGGGAUUUGAUUAAAGCCUACUUGGCCCUGGGCUCCGCCCUUCAUCCGGCAGUGGCACUAACCACUCUCUCCAGGGCUUUAAGAGUGUGGCUCGCUAAUUUGGAGGAGGACAUUGAUCGGGGUGUCUGUAGGGAACAUCUCUUGGAGAGCCUCAAGGAAUUCUGUUCAGAAGCCUCCCUAGACAUCACUCACAUGAUUGCCAAGAGUAUGGCCCUGUCUGUGGCUUCUAGAAGUGCCUUAUGGCUUCAUUCGUGGGGUGCGGACUAUGCCUCUAAGGCGUCCUUGUGUGGCCUUCCAUUCCAGGGGGAUCUCCUAUUUGGCAAAAUUCUGGAGGAUGCUAUUCAAAAAGCUGCUGAUGGGAAAAAAAGCAUUUUUGCCUCAAGUAAGCAGAAAGAGCUUUUCCUCCUCCUGGAAGACUAAGCGUUUCAAGGAUCGGUCCUUUCGGGACAGCAGAAGCUACAAACCUGGAAGGGAAUAUUCCAGAAAUUCUUCAUGGAAAUCCUUCUCGCAUUCUUUGUCCAAUAAGGCUUCCAGAAGAAGAGGAGCUAGAACCUCUGGGAAGAACUUCUGAAGGUCUUCAGGCCCGUUCGGGGACUGUGGGAGGAAGUUGUUCUACCCCGUGUGGGCCAAAAAUAUUAUGGACGUGUGGGUCACAUCCAUCAUAUAGGAGGGCUACAGGAUACAAUUUUCCUCUCACCCAAAAUUUGCUUUCUUCAAGAAAUCCAGGGUGUCGGCAGGCAUCAAACGAAGGGCCAUGAGGACCUGCAUUUCUACUCUUCUGAAACAGAAAGUGGUAGAAGAAGUUCUAAGACAGGAAAAGUUCUUUAUGGUUUACUCCACAGUGUUCUUGGCCCCAAAACCCCAGGGAAAGUGGCGUCUCAUCUUGAACUUGAAGGGUGUGAACUCCAUGCUCGAUGUGAGAACAUUCAAAAUGGAAUCUUUACAGACCAUCUUGAAGAGCAUCAAAAGAGUAGACUGGAUGACCUCCAUAGACUUGAGGGACACCUACUACCAAAUCCCUAUAAACCGAGAUCAUAUGCAGUUUCUCAGGUUCUGGGCGCUAUGAAGGCACUUUCAGUUCCGGGGACUACCAUUUGGCCUCAGCUUGGUGCCAAGAAUGUUCUCGAAAGUUCUUGUGACUUUGAUAGCCUUCAGAGAGAAAGGUAUCGAGAUCUUCCAUUACUUGGACAACAUCCUUAUCAUAGGUCGAUCUCAAAGGAUAGUAGAUCAUCACACGUUGGCUUCUCAACGUGGAAAAAAGCCCCCUGAUUCCUUCAGACGAUCGUAUUCCUCAGAGCAGUGAUAAACACCAUACCUGCCCAUGUGUGCCUAUCCCUGGAAAGGGUCACAAAGAUCACAAAACAAAGUAGGGAAGCUACAAGGUCUCGAGACUGCCUCCGCAAGAGAAGUCAUGAGUCUCCUGGGUUCUUUCACAUCGACUAUAGGGUUGGUAAAAUGGGCCCAGUGGAAGUUUCAUCUGGUCCAGAAUUGCUUCCUUCUCCAGUUCGACAGAGUGGGAGCAGAUUGGGAGCAAAGGAUCUCACUGCCGUGGCUCGUGAGGAAAGGGUUGAACUGGUGGAAGAGCAAGAAGAAUUUGGCAGCAGGCUUCCCAUUGGAGGAACCUCCUUGGAUGGUUAUUACAACAGAUGCCAGUUCUUUUGGAUGGGGUGCCCACUUCAAUUCCACAUGGACUCAAGGGAAGUGGACCCGAGAAGAGAGUCAGCUACACUCAAAUCUCAAAGCUAUUUCCAAGGCCAUCUUGGUAUUCCUACCAAGGAUCUUAAAUUCUUGGAUACUGAUCAAAACGGACAUCCGAGCGGUUGCUUCAUAUGUGAACAACCAAGGAGGCACAAGAAGCAGAUUGCUCUUGAAGGAACUAGCUCCCUUGAUGACAAUCGCCAUGACCAAUCUCCAGGGUCUGAAGGCAAUCUAUCUUCCAGGUUCGGAGAACGUGACUGCAGACUUCCUCAGCAGAAAGGAAAUUCUUCCGGGAGAAUGGAAACUUCACCCGGCAGUCUUUGCAUGGAUUGCCCAUCGGUGGGGCAUGCCCCAGAUCGACCUGAUGGCGUCCUCCCAGAAUCAUCAGGUGGAGAAUUACUUCUCCCUCCACCCGGACAGUCAGGCACUGGGCCAGGAUGCUCUCUCUCUUCCUUGGUCAUUCUUUCUGUAUUCCCUCACCUACCCGUGAUACCCAAGUUCCUGCGGAAGGUGUGGUUGGAAGGAAAGAAGGUUAUUGCCAUAAUUCCGGUUUGGCCUCCCCUACUAUCCAUUAUGGUUUCCCCUACUAUCCAUUAUGAUCCAGGAACGGCCUUGGCCUCUUCCCUUUAUGGAGGAUCUGCUAACGCAGGGCCCAAUAUUCCAUCCUCAUGUAGAACGCCUCAAAUUGGGGGUAUGGGUCUUGAAAAAGAAAGACUUCAACAAUUAGGGCUCUCAGAAGCUAUGGUUAAUACCCUUUUGCAUUCAUGGAAAGCUUCUACUUCCUCAUGCUACAAUUGGAUCUGGGAUGUGUUCAGGGAAUGGACUUUGGCCAAGAGUAUUGACUUUCUGCAUCCUCACAAUACUGAGAUCUUGGAGUUCCUGCAAGAAGGUCUGGAUAAGGGCCUUAGCCUCAGCACUCUUAAAGUUCAGUCUUCGGCUCUUUCAGCUUUGUGCAACAUCUCAUGGACUUCGGGUUCCUUUGAUCUCCAGGUUCUUCAAGGCAGCUUUCAGGUUGAGACCUCCUUCCAGAUCUACUACCCCUCCUUGGGACCUUCCACUGGUUCUCAAUUACCUAACUAAGGAUCUGUUCAUUCCUUAUGAGAGUUUGGAUGCUACCCUCCUGACGUAUAAAACUUUGUUUUUGGUGGCAAUUACUUCCGCAAGAAGAAUUUCGGAGAUUAAAGCAUUUUCUACCUUAUCUUCUUGUCUACAAUUCUAUCAUGAUAGGGUGUGUCUGGAAUCAAAACCUGAGUUUCUUCCUAAGGUGGUCUCUCAGUUUCAUCUCUCUCAGGAAGUGGUCCUUCCAUCGUUCUACCCCAAUCCUUCUUCGCAAGAGGAGGUUAGAUGGCAACGUUUGGAUGUCGUGAACUGCCUGUCUACCUUAAGUGUUCUGAGUCUUACAGAAAAACUGACCAACUCUUCGUCUUACCGUCUGGAGCCAGGAGACGUGAGGCGGCCUCUUUAUCUACAUUAAAACGGUGGAUUUCGUUAGUGAUCAGGAAAGUAUAUAUCUCUAAAGGUCGAUCUCCUCCAAUGAAGAUAAGACCUCAUUCUACUAGAGCAUUGUCGACUUCAUGGGUUAAUUGGGCAGAGGUUCCAUACGAUGAUAUUUGUAGGGCAGCCACCUGGUCUUCCCCGAUGACGUUCAUAAAACACUACAAAAUGGAUGUGGACACUCCUUCCACCUCCUUUGGGAAGAGUGUCCUGUCUACGGUUUCUUUAUCCUGUUGAUAUUAAAUUUCUUUGCAGCAUAGAGUCUGUUUAGUGUCUUUCUCGAUUUAGUAUUCCCACCCUAUAAUUCUGUGAGCUUGGGCAUUACCCAUAAGUGAUGCUGCCAUGAUUAGCCAGGAAUAGAGAAAAUUUAUGACAAACUUACCGUAAUUUUCUUUUCCUGGCUAUUUCUCAUGGCAAAAUCAGGGUUCCCGCCCAUUCUUUUAUUUUUCAGCUUUAUAAUUGGACUGAGGUGUAAGGGGAGGAGGGACUCUUUAUACCCGUCAGUCUAAUUAAUUAAUUAAUUCCGGUCCUGUGACUGCUAAGGUAGGAGCUACCCAUAAGUGAUGCUGCCAUGAGAAAUAGCCAAGAAAAUAAAAUUACGGUAAGUUUGUCAUAAAUAUUCUCUAUUUCGUACAACUCCCACAAUGCAAUGCCAGCUGGGAAUCUACCAUUUGCCCAACCUAACUUGUUGUACCUGUGAGCAGUGUUUGUGGCAUUUGAAUGUUAGCAUGUUUUUGUAUAGACUAUGUGUGUAUGCAUGUAGACUGUAUUUCCAUGUACUGUUGCCACUGGAGUAAGUAGUGUACUUCUAUGUAAUGUUUGCGUUUGAAUGUAGAGGUAUGUUUGUAUGUGGUGUUGGCUUUUAAAAUGCAGGAGUACUUUUAUGUGUAGUGUUGGUGUUUGAAUGAAAAUGUGUUUCUAUAAAAUAUUGGCAUUUUAAUACAUGGGUGUGUUUGUAAUGUUUGCUUUUGAUUGCAGGGGGAUGUUUGUAUGCAGUGUUGGAUUUUAAAUGCCGGUGUAGAUUUUAAAUGUACAUUUUAAAUGUAGGGCUUAUUUGUAUAUCAUUUUGGUGUUUGACUCCAGGGAUAUAUUACAGGGAGUGCAGAAUUAUUAGGCAAAUUAGUAUUUUGACCACAUCAUCCUCUUUAUGCAUGUUGUCUUACUCCAAGCUGUAUAGGCUCGAAAGCCUACUACCAAUUAAGCAUAUUAGGUGAUGUGCAUCUCUGUAAUGAGAAGGGGUGUGGUCUAAUGACAUCAACACCCUAUAUCAGGUGUGCAUAAUUAUUAGGCAACUUGCUUUCCUUUGGCAAAAUGGGUCAAAAGAAGGACUUGACAGGCUCAGAAAAGUAAAAAAUAGUGAGAUAUCUUGCAGAGGGAUGCAGCACUCUUAAAAUUGCAAAGCAAGCAUGAUCAUCGAACAAUCAAGCGUUUCAUUCAAAAUAGUCAACAGGGUCGCAAGAAGCGUGUGGAAAAACCAAGAAAAUAACUGCCCAUGAACUGAGAAAAGUCAAGCGUGCGCUGCCACGAUGCCACUUGCCACUAGUUUGGCCAUAUUUCAGAGCUGCAACAUCACUGGAGUGCCCAAAAGCACAAGGUGUGCAAUACUCAGAGACAUGGCCAAGGUAAGAAAGGCUGAAAGACGACCACCACUGAACAAGACACACAAGCUGAAACGUCAAGACUGGGCCAAGAAAUAUCUCAAGACUGAUUUUUCUAGGUUUUAUGGACUGAUGAAAUGAGAGUGAGUCUUGAUGGGCCAGAUGGAUGGGCCGUGGCUGGAUUGGUAAAGGGCAGAGAGCUCCAGACUCAGACGCCAGCAAGGUGGAGGUGGAGUACUGGUUUGGGCUGGUAUCAUCAAAGAUGAGCUUGUGGGCCUUUUUGGGUUGAGGAUGGAGUCAAGCUCAACUCCCAGUCCUACUGCCAGUUCCUGGAAGACACCUUCUUCAAGCAGUGGUACAGGAAGAAGUCUGCAUCCUUCAAGAAAAACAUGAUUUUCAUACAGGACAAUGCUCCAUCACACGCGUCCAAGUACUCCACAGCGUUGGCAAGAAAGGGUAUAAAAGAAGAAAAUCUAAUGACAUGGCCUCCUUGUUCACCUGAUCUAACCCCAUUGAGAACCUGUGGUCCAUCAUCAAAUGUGAGAUUUACUACACCUCUGAACAGUGUCUGGGAGGCUGUGGUUGCUGCUGCAAAUGUUGAUGGUGAACAGAUCAAAACACUGACAGAAUCCAUGGAUGGCAGGCUUUUGAGUGUCCUUACAUGGCUAUAUUGGUCACUGAUUUGUUUUGUUUUGUUUUUGAAUGUCAGAAAUGUAUAUUUGUGAAUGUUGAGAUGUUAUAUUGGUUUCCUGGUAAUAAUAAAUAAUUGAAAUGGGUAUAUAUUUGUUUUUUGUUAAGUUGCCUAAUAAUUAUGUAAUAGUCACCUGCACACACAGAUAUCCCCCUAACAUAGCUAAAACUAAAACAAACUAAAAACUACUUCCAAAAAUAUUCAGCUUUGAUAUUAAUGAGUUUUUUGGGUUCAUUGAGAACAUGGUUGUUGUUCAAUAAUAAAAUUAAUCCUCAAAAAUACAACUUGCCUAAUAAUUCUGCACUCCCUGUAGUAUGUAAUUUUUGUGUUUGUUUGCAAGGGUGUGUUGGCGUUUAGUGAUGGAGCUUGAUUGCUGGGAUGUAUACACAUAUACACUAGGGAUGUGCAUGGGGAAAAUAUUCGAUUCGGCAUUCCGAAAUUUGGGACUUCGGAACUUCGGCACUUCGGAUGUUCUCUUGCAGCUGCAUAGUAGAUAACUCCCUAAUUCCUAUGGUAUUAGGGAGCUAUCUACCAAAAGGCUGAAAGGCCUAAAUUGGUCUUUCAGUUAAAUUUACUAAUACUAAGUAAAGAUUACUUAGUAUUAGCAAAUGCUUACAGCUGAAUCCUGGCUAUAUUUGUCUACUUUUUAUUUAAACUGGUAUACAGUGUAACAUUCUUCCACUGGGUAUAUUAGUACUUCGGCAAUUCUGUGCUUUGAAGCUUCGGCACUUCGACACCUUGGAAAUUCGGCAAUUCAGCAGAAGUAUCCGAAUGUCCAAAUUGUCUGAAAUUCGUCAAAAUUGACAUUCGGAAUGAAACGAAUUGCACAUGUCUAAUAUACACAUAUGCUGCCACACACAUACAUACUUACACAGAUACAUGUACACAUUGACACACAAACACAGAUACUCAAUUGAAAACACAGGCGCACACUCAGAUAUACACUGACAUAUACACUCAGAUACACACAUAUGCACACUAACACAUACACCCACACUGACACACAUGGUUACCCACAUUGAUACACACAGAGACUGACACACAUAGAUACCCACACUGAUACACACACAAAUUGACACACAUAGAUGCAUACACUGACACACAUGUACACACACUGACUGACACAUACACAUGUCAUAAUUCAUAUAUUUUUAGCCACCUGUUGUUAACAUACCUUUUGUGUGCAGUAGGGUGGGGCUUGCCUGGGGCCUGCUGCUGGCUGAGGCUGAUGGGAUUGUAUUUACUCAUGUGGCUAUUGCACCCUUUAGUGCCCCGAUGUGUCUCCUACCUUUAUUGUAGCGUGGCCGAGGGGACCGCAGUAUGGGAGCUUCAUUCUCCUGUACCUGGCCGGACUAACAGGAAGUGCUCUCUCAGUGAGAACUUCCUUUCAGCCCGGCCAGCACAGGAAACACAAGUUCCUGUACCGUGGUGCGCACUGCUCCGCUCGGGCACGCUACACAGAGCGGUCACUCCAACACAAGCAGCCAGUGCGCCCAAAGGCGGCUGCUUGUGUUGCCUUAUGGACGCACCGGCCCUGGUGCCAGACUCCUUCUCCAGAAUUUGACUUUGCUAUUUAACUCUGUAACCACUACCAGCAUCUGUCUACUUAACCACAUGCACUCAACACCGAAUGGAAGUUCUUUUCCAAUACUGAGUUAGACAUACAAUAUUCAGAGUUAGUUAUACUAUAGAGAUAAACAUACAUACAUGGUUGGUGCAAAGUCCAUUCUCUAAAGUACCAGUAAGUACGUUUGGUGAGUUUUACUUGGAUUGCACUGACUUUUGUGUUGCCUUGCUAUCGGCAAAUAAAGCAUCAUGGCCCCUUGUCUCUAUAUUUGAUUUUUAAUUUUUUUUCAAAGAAUGAAAAUUCUAAAUCUGAAACAAAGAUACAGCAAAACCUAAUAUAAACCAAAUAAAGAAUAAUCUUUUAAAAAUAUAACCACAGAUAGUAGAACACAAUUGUGUAUGUGUUUCUAUGUUUUUUAUAGGUUUUACUUCAUCCUCUUUUCAAAUGUAAGGCUGAUUCACAAACCCACGCUUGUUUUUGUUUCAUAACGGCUUGUGAACUUUGCCUGGUAUUGUGAAUCACAGUUUUAAAAUGUCUUAAAGGGACACUCCAGAUGGUUACAGCACUUUAACUUGCUGAAGUGCUUCAUGUGUGAAGAGUGCGUCCCCUUUUUCAUUUGACUAAAGUACAGAUUUCAAUAGAAAUUAGCACUUUUAUAAAUUAAAUGGUUACUCCAACCACCAUGAACACUUCUACUUUUAGAAGUGGUCAUGGUGCUGUGUGUGUAAGGGGGGACUGUGUGUGUAAGGGGGGGCUGUGUAUGUAAGGGGGGCUGUGUGUGUAAGGGGGGCUGUAUAUUUGUGUGUGGUGCAGUGUGUAGGGGGUUAUAAUUUGUGUGAGGGGAUAGGGGACAGAUUAAAGAUAAAAAAAAUAAAUAACUAAAUAAAUAAAUAUAGAUAAUGUCACCCCUCCCUUCUUACUUUUGCCGAGGGAGGGGGAGACACUGCUUUCUCUUCCAUUCCCUGGUGGUUCUAGUGGGGGAGUGAACUCUAACCUGCAGCUCAGGCUAGAGUUCACUCUCGCGAGCACGGAGCGUUGCCAUGGUAACGCCCCGUGCUCGCGAGAGGAGAACCCGGCGGAGCUGCAGGUAAUAGCAACCCCGGGUUCUCUCACUCACUCCCCUGCCGGCCGCCCAGCAAUCUGCCUGUGGGCCGGGGAGGGAGAUCACUGAUCUCCCCUCCGGUCCGUGUUGGCAAACAGCAGGGCUGGUGCUUGGAUAGCACCAGCCCUGCAUGGGCCGGCAGAGGAGAGCCUCGGGCAGCUAUAUUUUCUCCGGGGGUUGCCCCGUUGCCCCCUGGAUCCGCCAAUGGUUCUACCCCCAGCACACAUGACUUAGGCAGCCCAGAACUCUUCUCUGGGCUGCUUAAUGGUUAUUCUGUGCAAAAAUGAUGUCUGUCAUCGGUGCUUAUUCUUUAUUUUAUAUUAGUUUUAGGUUUUGCAGUAUGUGUGUCAAUUCAGAAUUUUAAUUGUCUUAUUAUAGUCUUUAUUUCCCUCCUAAAACAUACAUACAAAAAAUAAAAAACAUAGUAUUUUAUUUGUAACUGUAUUAAUACUGUUAAAGGAAUAUUGUUAAAAUGAACACUCUGGGCACCAUAAUAACGAAUGGUUUAACCCCGAAAUUUUGAAACUGUCACCCAUCAGUUCGACCCAGCUACUUCCAUUGCAGUUGGAGGCUUGAAUCUGGAAGCUUCAGGCUGGGAGUCACUCUUAGUAGCUCAGUAGCUCCCAAUUCACAGAACAGAGUGAGAACAAUAUGUAUGUUACUCCUUUUCAGAUCACUAUACAGGGAAUGGACAUUUAUUCAUACUUUGUUACACAGAUUCCUCCUCAUGACAUCACCUGAUUUCUCCUUCUCUUUUCAUGAUUCUAUCUCAUUUGACCUCACUACCUCUUCCUUCUGCUCACUGUUCCACACUAGCAAGCGAUCACCCUGGCCUCUACCUAGGACUUCAAUAAAUUCUCCCUCUAUCAGUCCAUUCAGAUUCAGCAAAUUUUCAACAUUUAAGAUUAUGGUUUCAAACAUCAGAAAAACAGAUACAUAAUAGCAAGCCGUAUUAUUGUAAACAAUUAGCAUGCUCAUACUUUACCCUGUUAUUAGUAACCUAAAUAUGCCCUACAUUUUAGUAUUUAAAUAUUUUUUUAUUUUUUGUUAUAAUUACUUUUCCUCGAUAGAUCUCCACUUUCUGCUCUUCCUCAAUUUGCAGUGGCGAUAAUAUUGGCCCCAGUAUAUAAAGGUGUACAUGGUAACAGGUUUCUGGGAGUUAUAGUUCCACUAUAAGGAUCUAAAACUUGAACUCGAUUUUAAUGCUGACAACAGAUGUAAUAAUCUUUCACCUUCCUCCACUACUUGUAUUGCCUUUUUAGUUUCUUCAUUUAAAUUCCCUCUCCCACCCUCAUUCCACUUUUUCCUCUCCUCCUCACAUGUGCUCAGAGCUGGCAAUACGGACCAAUCACAGGCUUUCCUUUGAUAAGCCUAUGAGUUUACCGCACGAGGCCCCUUGUGAAGUCAGGACAUGGCAUGAAAGUCAGCAGUAAAAUAUUUUUUGCAGGUUUUACUGGGAACAGAUGGAACUAAAUUCAUCAUGCCCAGUGGCUUACCUACCACGGUCGCAGGGGUUGCAGCUGCGACUGGGCCCCUCACUGCAGGGGGCCCGGCCGCAGCCACGACCCCUCUGUCAGUGGGCCGCCUAGAUGCCGCUGUGUUCCCCCUUUCAUAGGGGGGCCCAAGAUGGACCCCCCGGCAGGCGGUAGAGUUCCUGUCAGACGCGGCGAGAGAGCGGUGUUCUCUCUUCUCUGCUCCCUCGUACACCGUUUGCUGAUGCUGGGAGACGGAAUAUGACGUUAUAUUCCGGCUCCCGGCAUCAGUAAAAAGCCCGCGAGGGAGCAGAGCAGAGAGAACACAGCUCACUUGCUGCAUCUGACAGGAACUCUGCCGCCCGCCGCACUGAAGCCCCACUGGACCCCAGGGACAGAUCCACGCCAGCUCUCCAGGUAGGGAGGCUGGGUGGACAUUUAAUAUGAAUAAUUUGUGUAUGUGUGUGUCUGAAUGUGUAUGUUUGUGUCUGUAAGUGUAUGUGUGUCUCAGUGUGUGUAUAUGUGUGUGUGUGUGUAAGUGUAUGUGUGUCUGAGUGUGCUUGUGUGUCUGUGAGUGUGUGUCUGUGAGUGUACGUGUGUAUAUCUCUGAGUGUGUGUAUAUGAGUGUUUGUGUCUCUACAUGUGUCUGUAUGUAUGUCUGUAUGUAUAGGUCUCUGUGUAUGUGUGUGUGUGUCUGCAGGUGUAUGUGUUUGUCUACAUAUGUGGGGUGGUAGGGCGGGGACGUGGGGGUAGGAGGUAGAUGUAUGGAGGGGCCCUAGGGCAAUUUUUGCACCGGGGCCCCGUGGUUUCUAGUUACGCCUCUAAUCGUGCCCAAUAGGGCAUAUUACAGAGGAAAGGAUUGGAGUAGCACUUAAUGUGUUCACUGAAUGCCCAACAUGAUUGGCUGCGUCACUUCCUGGUUUGGUGAAAGUUCACAACAAAUGCUGCAAAGCUUGGACAGCUGUAGAAAAUGCAGGGGUGACAAAUGUGACGAACAUCUGUUACUGAGUGAAUACAUUUUUUAUACACACACACACACACAUAUAUAUAUAUAUAUAUUUAUUUUUUUUAAACCGUGUUAGCUGCAUAAUGUAUUACAAAUGUCUCACCUCUAGCUUCAAGUGACCUUUUAAGAAGAAGAACGUAAUAUAAGAAAUCACGCUGAACAGAUUUUACCCAUACAUUUUUUUAUUUUUUUAUAUAUAGGCCUUGUGCUGACAUCAUCAAAAUACAAAUGAUUUGUGUGGCAAAACAGAAAGUGUUUAUCUGUCGAAGACACAUGUUUUUCAGCUGUCUAGGCUUUAAACCAGAGCUCGCAUGGAUUGACUUCAGGUGAUACAAAUUGGCUGUGUGAGAAGUUCAGGAACACACUUGUCUCUGUGUGCUUGCCAUGGAAACAUUAGCUGCUCUGUGUGCAUGAGGCCUCCUUACAGGGACAUCACAGCCGUCCUGCUUACCUUGGGUAAGCAUUCCUCCGACUUGGUAGCUGCCUCCUCUGGAGGGAUGAUUGCAUAAUGGUGGAAUGAAAACCAUUUCCUCUUCCUACUGUCAGCAAGAAAGAAUUCCACCCACUUUUAAGUGCCCCAGAAGCGGUGGGGAGGGAAGGAGAGUCUUGUUCAGUAAAAAGAGAGUGCAGAGUUUAUUAAUGCAAGAGAUCCUGUUCUACAGAAUGUGUGUCAAGAGUACAGAGAUUGAUCUCUGGGAAUUAGCUAAUCCGACUCUUCCUUCUGUUCUGAGACCGAGAUGUAAAAAGGUUCAGCUGCUUUAGAGUAGGUGAAAUAAAAAUAUGCUGUUUAAUUGCAAUAGCCAGGUAUGCAUUAGUGUAUAGAAAAAGCUAUAUUCUCAAUCACGGAUGAACCUUGCAUUAAGAACCACUUUUGUUUGCGGGAUCAGUGAAAAAUAUAAUUUUGAGAAUUUCUGAGUGCUAAGCAACUUUUUUUUUUAUAUAAAUGCAGAAAUGCUCUGGGUGCUAUAACUCCUGAUUUCACAAGAACAGAGAACAUAAAUAAUAUGUAACUACCUGGAUGUGACCGUGUAAACUAGGGGGUAGAUCCCCAGAUGUUGUAGAACUACAACUCCCACAAUGCUUUGCAAUCCUUUAACCCCUUAAGGUCCAAUCCUCUGGAAUAAAAGGGAAUCAUGACAUGUCACACAUGUCAUGUGUCCUUAACGGGUUAAAGGGUUAAAAUAGCAAAGCAUCAUGGAAGCUGUAGUUUUAACACAUCUGGGGAUAUACCUUUUGGGCAGCCCUGGUGUAAGCCAUUUGUUCUGUGGAAGGCAGAUCUGCUUUCAUUCGGGGAUCCCAAGCAGCACCCUUUAGUCAUUAUGCAGCCUUAGCUCUGAAUGUCAAAAAGAGCACAGUCCAGCAUUAUAGGUUGCAUUUUUUAAUAAUUAUUUUUUUUUGUAUUGUUUUUUUGUUUCGUGUUGCAUGUGUUGGUGCAAUAUUAUAACUUGUAAAAAAUAAAUAAAUGUCAAACUCUAGAUAUCUAUAUACAGGAUUGUAAAACUAUUUACAGCAUUUUCAGAUUAAGACACAGUGUGUUACAGAGAUAUGGGAGAACAGUUGCACGCUGAAGAGAGAAAUCAAUAACAUUUAGACCAAUAAAGUGUUUGUGUACAGGGUGUGUUUGCCUUUUGGCUUAUAUUUGACGUCAGUGGUAUGUUCACCAAACUGUGCGUUCUAAAAUUGAAGGAGCGUUCCAAGCACCAUAAUGGUGGUGCACUCCCAGGUACAUGUAUUCAAACCAUUUGCAAACAGUUUGACAAAUAUCUAAAGCCUGACAGAUACACACAGUCACCUCCUUGUCAGACAGAAUCAUCAGCACUAAGGUAAUCCUGACAGUGCAGGGAAGUGCUUAUUGGCUGAGAACACUCAGCUGAUGCUCUUAGCCAAUGAGUCGGCUUUGCAUUUCAGGGCUUAGGUCACAUAGAAACACAGAAAAAUAGAAUGUGAUGGCAGAUAAGAACCAUUCUGCCUAUCUAGUCUGCCCAAUUUUUUAAAAAUACUUUUAAUUAGUUCCUGGCCUUAUCUUAUAGUUAGGAUAGCCUUAUGCCUAUCCCACGCAUGCUUAAACUCCUUCACUGUGUUAACCUCUACCACUUCAGCUGGAAGGCUAUUCCAUGCAUCCACUACCCUCUUAGUAAAGUAAUACUUCCUGAUAUUAUUUUUAAACCUUUGCCCCAUUGAUUUAAGACUAUGUCCUCUUGUUGUGGUAGUUUUUCUUCUUUUAAAUAUGGUCUCCUCCUUUACUGCGUUGAUUCCCUUUAUAUAUUUAAAUGAUUCUAUCAUAUCCCCCCUGUUACGUCUUUCCUCGAAGCUAUACAUGUUAAGAUCCUUUAACUUUUCCUGGUAAGUUUUACUCUGAAAUCCAUGAACCAGUUUAGUAGCCCUUCUCUGAACUCUCUCUAAAGCAUGGGUCUUCAACCUGGUCCCUACCACCCACUAGUGGGCUUUACAAGAUUCCAGGUGGGCGGUAGGGAUUUCCUCAUUUGGAGAGAUUGGGUGGACGGAUGGGUGCGAGCCGGCGGUACCCCUGCGACCAGGUACCGCCAUCACCAUUUGCGGCCCCGGCCCGGGCGGCAAACCGCCGGGGCCACCGUCAAAGGGGUCCGUCGGGUGGCCCAUGCUGUCAGGGCCACCUGAUGGAUGUGGAAUGUGAGGGGGCCCGGUCAGCGCUGGCCGCUUUAACAGCACGACCGGGCCCCCUGUGAUUACAUCACAGAGCUGGGAGGAAGUGACUGCACGUCACUCCUCCCAGCUUACACUGAGAGCCGCGCGGGAGGAAGACCAGGGAGUCAGAGUGGGAACUCUGACUCCCAUCCACCUGAGCCACCACUGGACCCCAGGGAAAGUCACCCUCCUGCACCUUAAAGGUAUGAAACAGAAGGGUGACUUAAAUAUAAUGUGUGUGUUUGUUUGUGUGUGUGUCUUUGUAUGUAUGUCUUGUGUGUGUGUCUUUGUAUGUAUGUCUUGUGUGUGUCUGUAUGUGUGUGUCUAAAGUAUGUGUCUUUGUAUGUAUGUCUUGUGUGUGUAUGUGUGUCUUGUCUUUGUAUGUAUGUGUUGUGUGUGUCUUGUCUUUGUAUGUAUGUGUUGUGUGUGUAUGUGUGUCUUAUGUAUAUGUCUGUAUGUAUGUGUGUCUUGUGUCUGUGUGUAUGUGUGUGUGUCUUUGUAUGUAUGUUUUAUGUGCGUGUCUGUGUGUAUGUUUGUAUGUAUGUGUCAUGUGUGUGUAUGUGUGCCUGUUUGUUUGUAUGUGUCGUGUGUGUGUGUGUGUGUGCCUGUCUGUGUGUCUGUAUGUGUGUGCCUGUCUGUUUGUAUGUAUGUGUCUUUGUAUGUGUGUCUUGUGUGUGUGUGUUAUAGUGGGCUAUAGUAAGUGUGCUACCUAGCUCAGCCUUCCUACUGGGCAUUGCUAUAAGUAAGGUUAAAAAAUAGGAAAAAAGGGGGAACAAAAAGGUGGGGAGGGGAAUUGAGGAAGAAGAGGAGGGGAGCUGACGCACAGAUGAGAAAUCAUUUUAUGCACAAACAGAGAAGUCGUCUGAAUAUCACCGAAAGAGGAGACCUUCGUUUGUACCUUACAAAAAUCGAACCAGAUAUCAAAUAUUUAGUCUCGCAGCAUCAACCUCAAGGAUCUCAUUAAUCACUACUAAAGGUAAUUUCAAUUUACUUUAUUGUUUUCUCAUUAAACUUUAUAAAGUUAAAAACAUUAUCAACAUGCAUUAAGUAGAAAUAAAAAGAUAAAUGUACGUACAUUUUUUUUUUUAAAACGCCCUCCUUUCUAAAAACUAUUCUGCACUUGCGCGAAAACUGGUGGGCGGUAAGGAAAUUUUUCCAUCAAGAAAGAUGCAUUAGUUGGCGGUAGGAAGAAAAAGGUUGACUUCCACUGCUCUAAAGUAUCAAUAUCCUUCUAGAGAUACGGUCUCCAGUACUGCGUACAAUACUCCAAGUGAGGUCUCACCAGUGUUCUGUACAAUGGCAUGAGCACUUCCCUCUUUCUACUGCUAAUGCCUCUCCCUAUACUACCAAUCAUUCUGCUAGCAUUUCCUGCUGCUCUAUUACAUUGUCUGCCUACCUUUAAGUCAUCAGAAAUAAUUACCCCUAAAUCCCUUACCUCAGAUGUUGAGGUUAGGACUCUAUCAAAUAUUCUAUACUCUGCCCUUGGGUUUUUACGCCCAAAGUUUUUCACGGAUACAUAUGGAAGCUCCUUGCAGGAGAUGUCAGCAGUAACUGCCCGGUGGACUGCAGGUAAAUUGUAAAGCAUGUUGCCAAUUCAAGGCCUGAAUAUCUAAGCUGGAAAAGUAGCUGAUUUGAAAUUUUUUCAAGUUUUAUUAUUUCGGUUUAAAGGGGCACUACACUGCACAAAUACAAAAUAAAUAUCAAUCACUGAUUAGUAGAUAUAUCCCCUAUGAAAACAUGCAUGCAUUGCAUUUCAAAUUUUUUUUUUUAUUGGGGUGUAUCUAAUAACAGCUUGCAAAAGGGGCAGAUCUCUUGUCUUCAAUCUUUGCAAGCCUUCCCCUUCUAACCCCGCCCAGACUUUCUGUGGCUGUCCAAUCACAGACUUCCCAAUGCAGCUCAAGGAGAAGUCUUUGCAAGGCAGGUGCUCUGAGCAAUUACUGCCUCUUGAGUUUAGCUGAGCAAACAAAACCAGGGAGUAACAGGACCAGUUGUCUGACAGUCAAGGGUGGUGUAACACGGUUAAUUUAUAACAUUGUCGAUUUAUAUUGAAAUCUGCACUUUUUGGAAAAUGGAAAAAAGGGGGGCGGGAGUCACACUCUGCACAUAUAAAACUUUUUAGCAAGCUAAAGUGCUUUAGGGCUCUCUUACCAAUUCUCCACCAUCCCUAAAUUAAUCAAUAAAAGCUGAUGUCCACUGAGCAAGCCUAGUUUGUGAGCGAGAGAAUGCAUUCUUUUUUAUUUAUUCACUAAACUGGUACUUGAGAGAACUGAAGUCCAGACAUAUUUUUUUUGAAUAUUUUAUAGAGUGUAUGCAUACAUUUGCACAAUCACAGACAUACAAACUUACAAACAUACAUACAGUGACAUAUACUACCCACAUUGGAGCAUGCAGCCUCCGUGAUGACACUGACACCCCUUGUAGGUGUAGCAAUAUUGCUGAAUGUGAAUUCUUUGAAUUUUUUUUUGACAGCUUGGUGGAGGCAUAUGGGGAAUCAGAUGGAGUCUGAGGUGACCAAUCAGCUAGCCCAUGCAUAAAUAGCCCUGACUUCUAGGGAGGAGCAUUUGCCCUGGUUCCAUAAGUUCGAAUCUACACUAUUGAUCUUACAAGAACAGAGAACAAUAUAUAACUACCUGAAUGUGACCAUGUCGAACAUUCAUCCUGUGGAAGACAGGCCUGCUUUCCGGAGAGGAUCCCAAGCAGCACCCCUUAUUCAUCACGCCGCCUUAGCUCCUAAUGUCAAAAAGAGCACAGUCAAGCAUUCUAGGUUGCAUUUCAUUUUUGUACUAUUUACUUGUUAUUGUUUCCUCUCUCUUAAUAUGUUGGGGCAAUAUUAUAACAACUAUACCCUUUAUUAAAAAAAAAGUUACAAUCUAGAUAUCUGAAAUCUAUAUUGUCAAACUAUUUAUAGCAUUUUCAGAUUAAGACAGUGUGUUGCAGUGUUAUGGGAGAACAUUUUCACGCCAAGAGAACAAUCAAUAACAACAAAGUAAUAUAAAGAAUUGCGUACUGGGAAACAUCACAACUACAGCAACCAGUUAUCCAACCUUCAACAAAUCCAUCACAACUAAUCCAGGGUGGAAAAUUCACUCAAACUGCGUAACCAUGACAAGGCAAACAACGUCCCCAGAAAUCGGGGUAUAUAAUAAAUAUGCAUAUAGAAUAUAUGUCUCUAGUGUUCUAAUACAUAUGUGCACAGUAUACAUAAUGAUGGUGGGCAGCCAGUCUAUUGUUUAAAAAAACAAAAC